GUCGUGGUUUUGCCCACCAGCUCAUCCCUGGGGCUGAGGAUGGUUUUGUCCAGGUGAUUUCCGGACAAAAAACCAAUCAAAAAGUUCAGUGACGCCUUUGCUAAUUACAUCUUUAAGAAAACGGAAGAGAAGGUUGUGGCGCAGUUGAAAUUAGGAGCAGCAGCCAUGUAGGAGAGACGCGGUGGGCCCGAGGAGGGCCAAGGCCCCCUCCUCCCCCGGCUUGGGCCGGGGAAGGGGGCAGGUGUAACACUGAAGCCUCCCUUCUCUCUUGUGAGAGAGUGAAGAAAAAAAAAGUUUAAAAGACGAACUGCUUAGACGAGAAACCGCUGCAGAAGAAUUCCAGCCAUGAGAUAACAAGACUUUCAAGGUCAAAGCUGCAGUCGCAGGAGAGAGAAGAAAAGUUCGAAGGGGGAGAGCUGCUUUUUCUCCUUUCGCUCUCCCUCCCUUCAGCAGGGUAAAGACUGAAAAAUAAAACCCUGCCACCUGUAGAAGUUUGCUGGGGUGAAGAGACUCCCAUGCGGCUCACAGAGGAGCUUGUGGAUGCACCAGAGAUUUGUGACUUUAACAGAGAAAGCCUUAUGCUGGAGUAAAAGCGGCUCAGAUGAGGCAGAGUCCUGUUAAAGACUUUGUGACCCUCGAAGGGAUCGAUGCUUAUGCUGGAGCGAGACGGCUCAGAUAAGCUUGGGAUCUCAGUGAGAGAUCCAUGCUGCUGCUGUUGAAGAUUUAUGACCCUGACGGGUAUUAGAACCUACGCUGGAACACAAAACGGUUCAGGUAGGGAUGUUGGGAUCCAUGUGUGGGAUCCGUGCUGCUGGUGCUAGAGAGAACCUACGCUGGAGCAGAAAAUGGCUCAGGUGGGAUAUUGGGAUCCGAGUAAGGGAUCCAGACUGGACCCAUGUCGAGAAGUCAAUCAAGGACUGUUCUCCCAUGGGGAGGGACCUCCAUAGGGAAACAGGGGUGAACUCUUAAACCAUUAUCCCUUGUAACCCUGUGGAAGAAGAUCCAUAGUAAGCAAGUGUCCCCUUGCAAGCCUAUGGAAGGAGACCCUUCAGGACCUGGGUAACCCUCAACCUUCGGUUUUAACCCAGGAGGGGGGUAGGCCCAGCCCUGGAGGCCAACACAGAAUAAGAGAGAGAUAAAGAAGUUCCAACUGCGACGAAAGUGCUGCAGAGUUACUGGAGAGAGAGAGAGCUGGAAUUCUGAGAACAGAAAAAGACUGUUUCUCCUCCUUGGACUGAUAUAAAGGGAGGUGGGGGGAAAAGUAUCUUCUGUAAAUUCAUAAUACCUUUUACUUAAGUAGAAUUGUUGUAGAUAUAAUUCUUUAGUUUUAGUUUGUUAAUAAUAAAUACUCAUACUUUUUUUUCA